GUACCCUGAUAAGCCCAGAAGGCACCACUGGAGCACACUGAUAUGAGACACUGAAGAUGCCCCUCCAUCGGGUAUAAAAGAAGGACCCUCACACCAGCAGCCAGACGCCUGUCUGCCCUCCACAGACGAGACGUCAUUCUUACCCCCCUGGAACCUGCUGUUCCUGCUCUGCCCUGAGCCCAGAUUGUUAGAGGCCUUUCUUCGAGUCAAGAGACCGAGCAUCUUCCGCGGCGUAUCUGACGACCUCCGUGUGUCUCUGUCAGCGAGUGUCUCCGGGUGGCCUGCCAAGGACUGAAACCCAUCAGCGCUCUGAACUCUGGCAGGCAGACC